AUUUUCAGAUGAUUUCAUCACUCCAGUCUGUCCGGUUGAGGGCUUUUAUUGCAACCAUAAACCCCUACGUUUAUCUUCAAAUGGUGUCUUCGAUGACGGUAGCCUAUACUAUAAAAAUGAAGGUCAUCUAUUUUGGCAUUCCUAUUCUGACACUCAACAGCACAACAAAACAUUUUCUAGUGAGUUAUAUUGUUCGUUUCACUCGUGUCUCAUUCAUUUCCACUGUUUUUCUGCCACCACAUGCGCGCGUGACGUAACUGUGACGUCGACUCGCAAAAGGUCAAGGUUUGUAUUUAUCAAAUUUAUCAUUUUACUGUCAUCGAUUGAUGUCAAGUUAAUAUCUUUUGAUAGGAUAAUAGGAAGUAAAUAAACUUUAAUAGUGUAGUCUCUGUAGGAUUUUCUGCUUUAAGCUGUAUUUUAUCUGGCCCAGAUCCACUUUAAUGUUAUUAUGCAGAGUACAAACGCUAAUUAAUGCAGUUAGCAUAUAGUGUUAUUAUGCUAAAGCGCUCUUUGACAAUCAUUUGUGUAUGUACAUAAAGUUAUAAAUUACAGUGUAUGCAGAGGCCAUUAGCAUCGCGCUCAAAAAUGACCAAAGAGUUUCAAUAUUUUUCCUCUUUAAAAUGUGACUCUUCUAUAGUUACAUCGUGUACUAAGACUAACAGAAAAUGAAAAGUUGUGAUUUUCUAGGCAGAUAUGGCUAGGAGCUAAUACUCUCAUUCUGGCGUAAUAAUCACGGACUUUGCAACAUGAUUGCAGCAGUCGCAAUGAUAUUACGCAGCACCUGUCCUGAAUAUUGUCCCCUUGAUAACUUGCAAUUGCAGGGGAUUAUUUUCGGGCACUGCUUACCGUAUAUCAUUGCAGCAGCAAAGUCCUUGAUCAUUAUGCCGUAAUGAGAGUACAGUUCCUAGCCAUAUCACCACCAUACACCUUCAUAUGAAAAAAGCAGAACAGAAAAAGGAUGCAUUAUAAGGUUAAUACAUAAUUAUGAACAGAUAUAAGAACAGGUUGUUUAUUUUAACAGCUUUUCAUCGUUGGCCGAAUCUUCUGUUGAUGACAUAACAGAGGAAGAGACACUUAAGUCAACACAAGCAACGGGGACUUAAAGAUAUCCUUGUGUGUGUGUGUGACAUAACAGUAAUAAACAUUAAAAUGACAUAACUUCUGUUACAGUCAUUCACCUGUGUGUGAUCUGUUGUUUAGGACAGAGUUUCUCAAAUGGGUUUGUGUUAAUGAGGAAACUGCAGUGAGUUUGUUAAAUUGUUUAUAAAAGUACAAAUUCUAAAAUAAAUACAGCUGUACGUUUUCAAAAGUACACAAUGUGUUCAUGUAUAUGUUUUACAGAGAUGUAUAAUAUAAGCAUAAGAUUUUUUUGUACUCUCAGCAAAUAAAAAACAAAUGUGUUAAGAUUAUUCAGUUUUUACUCAGACUAUAUUAUAUUUAUUUUUUACACUAUAUAACUAUAUUCAAAACCAUAUUGUUUUCUCUAAGCGGACAUUUCUACACCCAUUACUCCUAAGGGAAAACAUGAACUUUGAGCUGAAUUUGGAGUUUGAUGAUAAUGAUUUUAAUAUCUGAAUGUCUUUAUUCAGCCAAAUAGUCAUAGUAAGAAUUACCUACUCAGACCAUAGACUGUAAAAAAGACUGCAUUUUUGUCCAUUAUCAUCUUUGGUUGUGCAUUAUUUUCUUAUUCAACAGCCAUUGCAAAUUAUCCUUAAUUAUAUUAGGGUCUAUCCUCACAAAAAUAUUUGCCCCAGGCAAUUUCUUAACUUUUUCUGUUAAGGCACAGGAGUGUUCGAUGGGUAAUACAAGCAGAUAUCAGUUUCCCUUAGCCGUUAUUUUCUAUUUCCCUGUUUGUGCCAAUUUAACAGUUUUAUUUUCUCUUUUACCUAUAAAUGAACCCCUCAAAAUAUUGACAUGACACUGAGUGAACUACACUGUCUGUGUUUAUCUUGGUUCCUGAUAUCAUUUUCUCUGCUCCAUCAUACAACCUAGCCUAACUUGAUCUGAUCAACUCAAUGUUAUUGAAGUUAAAUCCACAUAGUAGGAAAAUGUAAUGACAGGUGAAAUGUAUACACCAUUAGCACCAGUACUACUGUUGGUAUAAUGUAAUAUAGUAUAAUGUUUUCUAUAAUUAGUUUUUUUUUGUCAGUCAAUAUGUUGUUUUUAUUUUCAGUUUAACUUAAGACUUGAAUUUUGAUGACUUUUAUGAUUGUCAUGCUUAUGUUGCUGCAUGUAAUGGAUAAAAGUAGAGAGAGAGAGAGAGAGAGAGAGAGAGAGAGAGAGAGAGAGAGAAUACUGUAUUUGUAAAAAUGUAUGUUCUUUCUGUGGCGUUUUUAAUUUAACUACUAAAAUAGAUUUUCAUUUUAGUGACGAAUAUAACUGAUAUGAAUAUAACUGAUAUGUAUCUCCAAUGAAGCUGUUGUUAUUUAUUAAUGAACAAAUAAAAAAAAAUGUGGCUGCAAUCUAACCUGAACCACAAACUGAAAGCUGCCUCUGACGUCACAGCUCAUAAUGAUUGGCUGAGGUUCUUCACGUGAUCCAAAUGGACCGCCCAAAACAUCUCUAGUAACAACUGAGGGCACAGUUGCUUUGUUUUAUCGUUUUAUUCUGUUUAAAUCCCUAAAUGUCAGUAAAUGGAAAAUAACUUAAUUAAUCUGCAGACCUGAUGGACAGGUUAUGCUUAUCUUCGGUAGCGGAACCGGAAGUGAUGGAAACGGUUUAACGAAAUCCGCAUCAGAAGAUAUCAAAGUCUGUGUGUCUAUGAAGAGUGGAUCAAUGGAUCCACCAAUAGAAAUGAAGAGAUGGCCUGACCAAAAGUCGGUCAUAACCAAACCCGUCUGUAAAAAGAUGAAGUUUGAGCAGUCUGUGAAUCAACCACGAUAUUUGUAUCCUGAAUUCAGCCGUGACUCUAAACUUAAUGAAGUCCUGAACACAUUUAAAUCAAAUCUGAGAGAGAAGUUUCAGUGUUUGUAUCCAGGAACAUCAAACCAGAGAAACCCAACACUACUGAAUGAAAUCUACACAGAGCUCAACAUCACAGAGAGUAAAAGUGGAGAGGCAGAGGAGACACCAAUCAAAUGUAAUGACAUCUUUAAACCUUUACCUGAACAACACAAACACAUCAGAAGUGUGCUAACAAAGGGAGUCGCUGGCAUUGGAAAAACAGUCUCUGUACAGAAGUUCAUUCUGGACUGGGCUGAAGAGAAAGAGAAUCAGGACGUCCACCUCAUAUUUCCACUUCCUUUCAGAGAGAUCAAUUUGAUGAAGGACAAAACACUCAGUCUUUUAGAUCUUCUUCAUCUUUUCUUCCCAGAGACAAAAGAAAUGGAAAUCUUCAGUGAUAAAUAUAAAGUGUUGUUCAUCUUUGAUGGUUUGGAUGAGUAUCGUCUGUCUCUGGAUUUUCACAGCAGUGUGAGGUUGUGUGAUGUAAGUGAAUCAACCUCAGUGGACGUGAUGCUGACAAACCUCAUCAAGGGGAAUCUGUUUCCCUCUGCUCUCAUCUGGAUCACCUCCAGACCAGCAGCAGCUGAUCUCAUCCCCUCUGAGUGUGUUGAUCGAGUCACAGAGGUACGAGGCUUCAGUGAUCCACAGAAGGAGGAAUACUUCAGGAAGAGAAUCAGUGAUGAGAGUCUGUCUGAUCAAAUCAUCUCGCACCUGAAGUCAUCCAGGAGUCUCUACAUCAUGUGUCACAUCCCAGUGUUCUCCUGGAUUUCAGUCACUGUUCUAGAGAGAAUAUUGAGGGAAGACAAGAGUCAAGAGAUCCCCAAGACUCUCACUCAAAUGUACACACACUUCCUGAUCAUUCAGACAAACGUAAAAAAUCAGAAGGACUAUAAGAAGAAUAAAGAGAUGAUCUUCAAACUGUGUAAACUGGCUUUUGAGCAGCUUGUGAAAGGCAAUCUGAUCUUCUAUGAUGAAGACCUGAGAGAUUGUGGCAUUGAUGUAGCAGAAGCAUCAGUGUACUCAGGAUUGUGUACUCAGAUCUUCAGAGAGGAGUUUGGUUUGUGUCAGAGGAAAGUUUACAGCUUUGUUCAUCUGAGCAUUCAGGAACAUCUAGCAGCUCUACAUGCGCACCUCUCUUUUAUGAACAAAAACGUGAAUGUGUUUGAUCAAAUUAAACCGAUUCAAAUACUUACAUUUUCAAUACAUGAUCUGUAUAAGAGAGCUAUAGAUGAGGCUCUACAGAGUAAAAAUGGACAUCUGGAUCUCUUUCUUCGUUUUCUUAUGGGUUUGUCACUGAAGUCAAAUCAGAAUCUCAUACAUGAUCUGAAGAUCCAGAUAGGUUACAGUCGUCAUAGCAAUAAGAAAACAAUCGAGUGCAUCAAGAAUAUAAUCAAUAGCAUCCCAUCUCCAGAGAAUUCCAUCAAUCUGUUUCACUGUCUAAAUGAACUGGGUAAUGUUUCACUAAUGACAGAAUUCCGAAAUUAUAUGAUUAAUGCAUUAAGUAAAGUCACACUCUCUUCAUCUCAGUGGUCAGCUUUAGUUUUGGCGAUUCAAGAAUCCGGAUCAUUUCAGUUGACAAGUUGUAAUCUUACAGCUGAAGCUUGUGAAGCUCUGACUUCAGCUCUGAGAUUAAACCCAUCACACAUGACACAUCUGGAUUUGUCUAAUAAUAAUCUUGGAGAUUCAGUAGUGAAGCUGCUCUCUAAUAUACUGAAGAAUCCUCACUGUAAACUGCAGAUACUGAAGUUGAAGAGAUGUAAUAUCACAGAUGAAGGUUGUGUUGCUCUGACUUCAGCUCUGAAAUCAAUCCCAUCACACCUUAGAGAUCUGAAUCUGACGGAAAAUAAUCUUGGAGAUUCAGCAAUGGAGAAUCUCUCUGCUGUACUUGAGAAUCCUCAAUGUAAACUGGAGAACCUCUGGUUGAAGAAUUGUAAUAUCACAGAUGAAGGUUGGGUUGCUCUGUCUUCAGCUCUGACAUCAAACCCAUCACACCUGAGAGAUCUGAAUUUGUCUGAUAAUGAUCUAGGAGUUUUAGGAGCGAAGCUGAUCUCUGCUGUACUGGAGAAUCCUCAGUGUAAAUUGGUGAUGCUAAAGUGAUUGAUAUUCACAUUAUCUGAUCUUGAUCUGAACAUGAUACUGCAGUUCUGAUAAUGACUUACACCUCUCUUUUAACAUCUACAUCUGUUUUGUGGCAACAUGAGAGGUUAAGGAUCUUUUACUGGUACAGUUCUCUAACAAUCUCUCCAGGAAGCAGGUGUAGUUUAAUAAUCAAACAUAAAGUCUCAGAGUUAUAACUUAAGUCUCUUCAGCAUCAAAAUUAACUUUUAAAAGAGUAACUCUUUACUGCUCCCAUUCUCUAGACAUAACAACAGGUCUCCUUUGUCUCUCAUACCACACCAUUCAUUCCAUUUGUUGUAGCUGUCAACCUUUUCAGGUUGAAUAAUUGUAAUAUUACACCUGAAGCGUGUGCUGCUCUGUCUUCAGCUCUGAGAUCAAACCCAUCACACCUGAGAUAACUGAAUCUGACUGAGAAUAAUCUUGGAGAUUUAGGAAUGGAGCAUUUCUCUGCU